rnacentral:lncRNA from 1 species
GACGACGGUCUUGCUAUUUUGAAUAUGCUAAUGCAAGUAUUUAAGCUUGGGGGAUCUUGAAAUAAUCAUCAGAAUUAAUAUAAAAUUGUACUAGAUUUUGUAACCUUGUUCUUUAUCCUUUAGCAUGGCAAGCAAAGAUGAUUCAUAUUAUGAUUUCAUGGGUGUAGGUGACGGUAAGAAGGAAUUAAAGGAGCUCGUGCAGAAAGAAUCUUCUACUUCUGAAGAAGGAAAACAAUCUCAGCUAAUAAGUAAAAGAAAAGAUCCUGCCUCUUCUUCCAAUGAGAAAAAAACUGAGAGAAAUAUCAAAGAUAUAUUGAAUCAUCCAAAGGCUAAGGAUCUUGCUCAAAGGGUCUUGCGGGGCAGCAAAUGAUCAAAACUUUAUAUUAUGAACUUAUCUGUGGUAAGAUAUUAUGAGCUCAUAGACUGUAGUAAGAUUUUUUUUUUUUUUUUUUUUUGCAGUAAUUAAUUUGUGAGCUCUCAGUUUUAAUUGCAU